GAGUCUUCAUGCCUUGGCAAUGUUGUAUAACAAUUUUAAUGUCAAUCUUAUCAAAAAAAAUUUUCUCAAUAUAUGUGCUAAAAAAUCAGUCAUCCAUUGAUUUCCAAUUCCAUUACAUAACCAAUUCUUCACAAUUUUCAUAGUAGAAAAUUUGCAACAGGUAAGACUGGAUACAAAAUAUAGUUAUAAGCUUAUAGACUACCAGAUGUAAGAUAUAGCACUUUGUCUUUAACACUUUGUUAGCAAGAUCACUAAUACCAAUCACAUUCGAAAGCUCACAAAUGGACUUCACAUUAGUGAUAUAUGUUUCUAACUAAUAAUCAGUAGCAAUAAGUUGGAUUGGUGAUUGGAUUGGUGAUAACUCAACAGCAUAAAAUGGAGCAAGAUGAAAGGGGGCAAGUCCCUUGGUUAGUCGAAUUUUUUUUCUUUAAAGGUGAAGGGAGGCAAAUCCUAGUUUCAAACUGC
rnacentral:misc_RNA from 1 species